rnacentral:lncRNA from 1 species
ACAAUCUGGCGCCAUCGUCCUUCUUGUGAGGCCAAGCCUGAAAAUGCGAAGCAGAGAGGCAGGACCAAAAUUGAGGCGAAUCCAGGAACCUGCCAAUGGGUCUCCGGGUGCGGUCUCUGAAACUGGAGGAUAUCGGGAGGAAAGGCUCUCCGAUGCGGAGAUAAUGGGGAAGCUCUUGGCAUGGUUGGCUGUAGGUAUGUGAUACCGGAGGAGCAGGAGUCAAAUAGGAUACGCCGACUUUUAAUUCAAGGAACCCUUUUCUGAAACACUUUGCCACAAUGAAGGAAAUAAGCAGGAUGAAGUUAAAGGAAGUA